CAAUAGCGUAUAUUAAAGCUGUUGCGGUUAAAAAGCUCGUAGUUGGAUUUCUGUCAAGGACAACUGGUCCGCCCUCCGGGUGAGCACAUAGUUUGGUCUUGACAUCUUGCUGGAAGCUGUUGCUGCACUUGGCUGUGUGGCGCAGUGUUCAGCACUUUCACUUUGAGGAAAUUGGAGUGUUUCAAGCAGGCACAUGCCUUUGGACACAGUAGCAUGGAAUAAUUAGAUUGGGCUUUUGCUCCAAUUUGUCGGUUUCUGGAGCUGAGGUGAGUAUUAAUGGGGAUUGUUGGGGGCAUCCGAAUUCAGCCGUCGGAGGUGAAAUUCUUGGAUCUGCUAAAGACGGACAACUGCGAAAGCGUUUGCCCAGGAUGUUUUCAUUGA
rnacentral:rRNA from 1 species